rnacentral:rRNA from 1 species
UGGGGAAUAUUGGACAAUGGGCGCAAGCCUGAUCCAGCCAUGCCGCGUGAGUGAUGAAGGCCCUAGGGUUGUAAAGCUCUUUCACUGGUGAAGAUAAUGACGGUAACCGGAGAAGAAGCCCCGGCUAACUUCGUGCCAGCAGCCGCGGUAAUACGAAGGGGGCUAGCGUUGUUCGGAUUUACUGGGCGUAAAGCGCACGUAGGCGGACUUUUAAGUCAGGGGUGAAAUCCCGGGGCUCAACCCCGGAACUGCCUUUGAUACUGGAGGUCUUGAGGAUGGAAGAGGUGGGUGGAAUUCAAAGUGUAGAGGUGAAAUUCGUAGAUAUUGGGAGGAAAACCAGUGGGGAAGGCGGCUCACUGGACCAUUACUGACGCUGAGGGGCGAAAGCGUGGGGAGCAAACAGG